CAGUCGCCGCGGUAAUACGUAGGUGGCAAGCGUUGUCCGGAAUUAUUGGGCGUAAAGGGCUCGCAGGCGGUUUCUUAAGUCUGAUGUGAAAGCCCCCGGCUCAACCGGGGAGGGUCAUUGGAAACUGGGAAACUUGAGUGCAGAAGAGGAGAGUGGAAUUCCACGUGUAGCGGUGGAAUGCGUAGAGAUGUGGAGGAACACCAGUGGCGAAGGCGACUCUCUGGUCUGUAACUGACGCUGAGGAGCGAAAGCGUGGGAAGCGAACAGGAUUAGAUACCCCAGUAGUCCCUGUCUCUUAUAC
rnacentral:rRNA from 1 species